UAGAUACAAUUCCCCCUUUGGUGUCUAUGAUGGUUAAUAUUCACGGUCAACUGAACACCCAAGAAGAAGGCUUUUGGGCAUACCUGUGAGGAUCGUCUAGCUGAAGGUUAACCUCUGAGGAUGUCUGUGAGGGAUCUAAUUGAGCUCUCAAGCUUCUCUUGCUGUGACUUCCCUGCUCUGAUGGACUGGAACCCGGAACUGUGAGCCAGAAUAAACCCUUUCUCCCAUGAGUUGCUUUUGUCAUGGCAACGUUUAUUAUAUCAUAGCAACAGAAAAGAAAAUACAGACCGGGAAGGACUAUCACCAAGCUGUAAUGCACUGCCAGACUGUUUACCAGGGUAGUUGCCAUUUUCCAGUCCCCCAGCAAUGUGUGAGAGAACCAGCCACUCCUCGGUGUCCUCCACAUUUGUGCUGCGCCUUGAGCUGGAUGUGUGGUCUCCUUGGGCUGUUAGCUUGCCUUUCCCUGAUGGCUGGUGAUAUCAAAUAUCUUGUGUGCUUACGGACUCCAGGUAAGCUUUCUUGAGUAAAGUG